rnacentral:lncRNA from 1 species
UAUGUUCAGUAGCAAUGAGAUAAUUCUUCCCAUUAAAAAUAAAAACAUUCUCAUAGAGUAUUUGCUAUAUUCUAAGGAACCACUCUUGAUUUUGCUUUACUAAACAAAAUAAAUUCCACAUAUUUAAGUCCCAAAGUAAAUGGCAAUGCAUUAAUCUAAGCACCAUUAGGAAUAUAAGAAUUACAAGAUAUCACUUUGAAAUAUAAAAAAAUAAGAAUCAUAAAUGCUCAGCCAUUACCAUAUAAACUAUACUAGAGAUUUUAAAAUGUGAUCUUCGAUGUUCUACUCACUCUCAUAGUAAGAGGCCUUAGACUCAAAAAUAUUUAAUCACUCACAAAAGGUCACUCAGUGAAUGCAUAACAGUUCUUAUUCUAAAGCUUUUACAGAAUUUUUUGAUAAUACAUUGCAAAAUCCCACCUGUCUUCUUUAGAAAUAAGACACAGAGUAUGUUUUAGUCUGUUUUAUAAUGCUAUAGAAAAAUACCAGAUACAUGCCAAUGUAUAAAAAGAGAUAUAAAUGCAUAAAAAUAUUUUCUGAGGUGCUGGAGUUGUGGCUCAGUGGUAGAGUGCUCACCUGUCACAUGCAAGAAGCUGGGUUCAAUUCACAGAACAACAUAAAAAUGAAUAAAUAAAUAAAAUAAAGGGAUUGUGUCCAAUUACAACUUAUAAAUAGUUAAAAAUAUUUUUUUGUGUACAAAGUUCUGAAGAUUUAUGUGCAUUGUACCAGAAUCUUCUCAGCUCCUGUGACAGCCCCUUCACCUGCAGUACACAUGAGAUGGCAUUAUGGUGAGGGCUCAUUUGAGAGGUAGAGAGAACAUAAUGAGAAAGGAAGUCACAGAAAUUCAUAAAGAAGACUUGCUCUUUUUGUAACAACUGGCUUUAAUAAAAACUCUCCUGUGUCUCAUGAAAGUUACAUUAACCCUUUCCAAGAGCAUCUCCCCCAGUAAUCUGACCACAACUUACUAGAUCUCACUUAAACAUUCCACUAUUUUCCAACUUUCUCCCUUUGAAACUAAGUUCCAAACACAUGAGCAUUUGGGGGACAUACUCAAAUCAUAAUGAAAGUAAUAUGAGAGAGACAAUGGUAAAAAUGAGACAUAAAUGCCAUUUCUUAGUAGUUAUAAAGAUUCUAGAUACUACUAUAAAAUGCUUUAGAGUGUAGAAAUUAUUUUAGGUUGAUAUUUUAUUUUAAAGACAAUAGGGGAUUUAAUUAAAUUACUUUUUGAAGAAUGAAUGAAUUUGAAUGUGACAAGACUAAUGGGCUAAGUAUAUUAAAAUAAGGGAAAACUCUGUGCAAAACCUCAAUUCGAUGUUUAGUAAACCAUGCCCUAGGAAUAAAAAGAGAAUGCUGGGCUUUAUGAUUAUGCUAUAUCAAGCCAAAAGUUUACUGGAAAAAAUCUUGUGGCCCUCAAAACCAGAGAAAAUAUUUAUAUGAAAGAUGCAGUGAACAUCAGUCUCAAGAGCUUC